AUUGAACGCUGGCGGCAUGCCUUACACAUGCAAGUCGAAUGGCAGCGGGCCUUCGGGUGCCGGCGGGUGGCGAACGGGUGAGUAAUGCAUCGGAACGUGCCAUUGAGUGGGGGAUAACGUAGCGAAAGUUGCGCUAAUACCGCAUAUUCUGUGAGCAGGAAAGCAGGGGACCGCAAGGCCUUGCGCUCUUUGAGCGGCCGAUGUCAGAUUAGCUAGUUGGUGAGGUAAAGGCUUACCAAGGCGACGAUCUGUAGCGGGUCUGAGAGGAUGAUCCGCCACACUGGAACUGAGACACGGUCCAGACUCCUACGGGAGGCAGCAGUGGGGAAUUUUACGCAAUGGGCGAAAGCCUGACGUAGCGACACCGCGUGAGCGAAGAAGCCCCUUGGGGUGUAAAGCUCUGUCAGCUGGACGAAAAAAAUGACGGUACCAGCAGAGGAAGCAUCGGCUAACUACGUGCCAGCAGCCGC
rnacentral:rRNA from 1 species